AAAGGAAUAGUGCAUAUGCUUAAGAAAAAAUCAUAGGAUAGCAUCCUAAUUAUCAGAAACCAAAGGAACAUAUCAAUAAGCUUAGAUAGAUCACAAUGAUGGGAAACAGAAGGAAUGAACAAUGAACAUAGGCCGAACCUAGGAUUGGAUCCUAAUGUUUGAACCCAAAGGCACUAAGAACAAACCUAGAUAGAAACUAGGAUGAUAUCACAAUGACGAGUAACAUAACC
rnacentral:lncRNA from 1 species